rnacentral:misc_RNA from 1 species
CCAAACUUGGUCAUUUAGAGGAAGUAAAAGUCGUAACAAGGUUUCCGUAGGUGAACCUGCGGAAGGAUCAUUAAAGAUUCGGGCUUUGGCCCUCCUUUCAGCUGUGCGCUUUGGCUGCACGCUGAUACAAACCUCACACCUGUGCACCUUUACGGUCGCGGCUCUUCUCUUGGAGUCGCUUCCGCUUUACAUCUUACAACAAAAGUUCAGAAUGUCUAAACUAUAAAACAUAACAACUUUCAACAACGGAUCUCUUGGCUCUCGCAUCGAUGAAGAACGCAGC